rnacentral:rRNA from 1 species
GAUGAACGCUGGCGGCGUGCCUAAUACAUGCAAGUCGAGCGAACAGAUGAGGAGCUUGCUCCUCUGACGUUAGCGGCGGACGGGUGAGUAACACGUGGAUAACCUACCUAUAAGACUGGGAUAACUUCGGGAAACCGGAGCUAAUACCGGAUAAUAUAUUGAACCGCAUGGUUCAAUAGUGAAAGACGGUUUUGCUGUCACUUAUAGAUGGAUCCGCGCCGCAUUAGCUAGUUGGUAAGGUAACGGCUUACCAAGGCAACGAUGCGUAGCCGACCUGAGAGGGUGAUCGGCCACACUAGAACUGAGACACGGUCCAGACUCCUACGGGAGGCAGCAGUAGGGAAUCUUCCGCAAUGGGCGAAAGCCUGACGGAGCAACGCCGCGUGAGUGAUGAAGGUCUUCGGAUCGUAAAACUCUGUUAUUAGGUAAGAACAAAUGUGUAAGUAACUAUGCACGUCUUGACGGUACCUAAUCAGAAAGCCACGGCUAACUACGUG